rnacentral:tRNA from 1 species
GCAGUGGUGGUUCAGUAGUAGAAUUCUCCCGUUCCAAGCAGAAGACCCAGGUUCGAUUCCCAGCCAAUGCA